UAUUAGAUUCCAUUCUAAUCUUAUCUAGCCCUAGUCUAUUUAAUUCUAUUCUACUCUCCUUUACACAGAAUGUAUUUACAGGCUGACAGACUGACAGUAGUAGUGGUCUCAGGUGACAGACUGACAGUAGUAGUGGUCUCAGGUGACAGACUGACAGUAGUAGUGGUCUCAGGUGACAGGCUGACGGUAGUAGUGGUCUCAGGUGACAGGCUGAUGGUAGUAGUGGUCUCAGGUGACAGACUGACAGUAGUAGUGGUCUCAGGUGACAGACUGACAGUGGUAGUGGUCUCAGGUGACAGGC
ensembl:lncRNA